rnacentral:rRNA from 1 species
AUUGAACGCUGGCGGCGUGCCUAACACAUGCAAGUCGAGCGAUCUUCUUCGGAAGAGAGCGGCGGACGGGUGAGUAACGCGUGGGUAACCUGCCUCAUACACAUGGAUAACAUACCGAAAGGUAUGCUAAUACAAGAUGAUAUAAGAGAUUCGCAUGGAUUUCUUAUCAAAGCUCCGGCGGUAUGAGAUGGACCCGCGUCUGAUUAGCUAGUUGGUAAGGUAACGGCUUACCAAGGCGACGAUCAGUAGCCGACCUGAGAGGGUGAUCGGCCACAUUGGAACUGAGACACGGUCCAAACUCCUACGGGAGGCAGGAGUGGGGAAUAUUGCACAAUGGGCGAAAGCCUGAUGCAGCAACGCCGCGUGAGCGAUGAAGGCCUUCGGGUCGUAAAGCUCUGUCCUCAAGGAAGAUAAUGACGGUACUUGAGGAGGAAGCCCCGGCUAACUACGUGCCAGCCGCCGCAGUAAGAC